rnacentral:rRNA from 1 species
CCAUGCCGCGUGUGUGAAGAAGGCCCUAGGGUUGUAAAGCACUUUAAGCAGGGAGGAAGGGGUAACGGCUAAUACCCGUUAUCAUUGACGUUACCUGCAGAAUAAGCACCGGCUAACUCCGUGCCAGCAGCCGCGGUAAUACGGAGGGUGCAAGCGUUAAUCGGAAUUACUGGGCGUAAAGCGCGCGUAGGCGGUCAAUUAAGCGAGAUGUGAAAUCCCCGGGCUUAACCUGGGAACUGCAUUUCGAACUGGUUGGCUAGAGUGUAGAAGAGGGGUGUGGAAUUUCCGGUGUAGCGGUGAAAUGCGUAGAGAUCGGAAGGAACAUCAGUGGCGAAGGCGACACCCUGGUCUAACACUGACGCUGAGGUGCGAAAGCGUGGGUAGCAAACAGGAUUAGAUACCCUGGUAGUCCACGCCGUAAACGAUGUCGACUAGCCGUCGGGGGGCUUGACCCUUUGGUGGCGCAGCUAACGCGAUAAGUCGACCGCCUGGGGAGU